rnacentral:rRNA from 1 species
GAUGAACGCUGGCGGCGUGCCUAAUACAUGCAAGUCGAGCGAACAGACGAGGAGCUUGCUCCUUUGACGUUAGCGGCGGACGGGUGAGUAACACGUGGGUAACCUACCUAUAAGACUGGGAUAACUUCGGGAAACCGGAGCUAAUACCGGAUAAUAUUUCGAACCGCAUGGUUCGAUAGUGAAAGAUGGCUUUGCUAUCACUUAUAGAUGGAUCUGCGCCGUAUUAGCUAGUUGGUAAGGUAACGGCUUACCAAGGCAACGAUACGUAGCCGACCUGAGAGGGUGAUCGGCCACACUGGAACUGAGACACGGUCCAGACUCCUACGGGAGGCAGCAGUAGGGAAUCUUCCGCAAUGGGCGAAAGCCUGACGGAGCAACGCCGCGUGAGUGAUGAAGGUCUUCGGAUCGUAAAACUCUGUUAUUAGGGAAGAACAAAUGUGUAAGUAACUGUGCACGUCUUGACGGUACCUAAUCAGAAAGCCACGGCUAACUACGUG